rnacentral:tRNA from 1 species
UGCCGGAUGGUGUAAUUGGUAACACGCCUGACUCUGGAUCAGGAGACUCUAGGUUCGAGCCCUAGUCUGGCAGCCA